GACGAACGCUGGCGGCGUGCUUAACACAUGCAAGUCGAACGAAGAGCGAUGGAAGCUUGCUUCUAUCAAUCUUAGUGGCGAACGGGUGAGUAACGCGUAAUCAACCUGCCCUUCAGAGGGGGACAACAGUUGGAAACGACUGCUAAUACCGCAUACGAUCUAAUCUCGGCAUCGAGGAUAGAUGAAAGGUGGCCUCUACAUGUAAGCUAUCACUGAAGGAGGGGAUUGCGUCUGAUUAGCUAGUUGGAGGGGUAACGGCCCACCAAGGCGAUGAUCAGUAGCCGGUCUGAGAGGAUGAACGGCCACAUUGGGACUGAGACACGGCCCAGACUCCUACGGGAGGCAGCAGUGGGGAAUCUUCCGCAAUGGACGAAAGUCUGACGGAGCAACGCCGCGUGAGUGAUGACGGCCUUCGGGUUGUAAAGCUCUGUUAAUCGGGACGAAAGGCCUUCUUGCGAAUAGUUAGAAGGAU
rnacentral:rRNA from 1 species